rnacentral:rRNA from 1 species
UUAAUGCCCAGGAGAGUGGCAGUCCACAUGGACUGUUGACUAGAGAUUUAUCGGUGUGGGAUGAGCUUGCGUCCGAUUAGCUAGUUGGCGGGGUAACGGCCCUCCAAGGCGACGAUCGGUAGCCGGCCUGAGAGGGUGAUCGGUCACAUUGGGACUGAGAUACGGCCCAGACUCCUACGGGAGGCAGCAGUAGGGAAUAUUGCACAAUGGGGGAAACCCUGAUGCAGCAACGCCACGUGUGGGAAGAAGCAUUUCGGUGUGUAAACCACUGUCGUGAGGGAAUAAUGCUUAAUUUCGGUUAAGUUGAAUGUACCUCGAAAGGAAGCACCGGCAAACUUCGUGCCAGCAGCCGCGGUAAUACGAGGGGUGCAAGCGUUGUUCGGAAUCACUGGGCGUAAAGGGAGCGUAGGCGGAGAUGCAAGCAGUCUGUACAAUACCGGGGCCCAACCCCGGACCUGCAGACUGGACUGUUUCUCUUGGAUAGUUCAGGGGCAAGCGGAAUUCCUGGUGUAGCGGUGGAUGCGUAGAGAUCAGGAAGAACACCGAUGGCGAAGGCAGCUUGCUGGGGACUUAUCGACGCUCAUGCUCGAAAGUGCGGGUAGCAAACAGGAUUAGACACCCUGGUAGUCCGCACCGUANACAAUGCAUACUGGGUGUCCGGGGCUCGCCCCGGGUACCGAAGCCAACGCGUUAAGUAUGCCGCCUGGGGAGUACGUACGCAAGUAUGAAACUCAAAGGAAUUGACGGGGGCCCGCACAAGCGGUGGAGCAUGUGGGUUUAAUCC